rnacentral:rRNA from 1 species
UCAAUAAGCGGAGGAAAAGAAACCAACAGGGAUUGCCUCAGUAACGGCGAGUGAAGCGGCAAAAGCUCAAAUUUGAAACCCUCGGGAUUGUAAUUUGAAGAUUUGGCAUUGGAGAAAGCUAACCCAAGUUGCUUGGAAUAGUACGUCAUAGAGGGUGACAACCCCGUCUGGCUAACCGUUCUCCAUGUAUUGCCUUAUCAAAGAGUCGAGUUGUUUGGGAAUGCAGCUCAAAGUGGGUGGUAAACUCCAUCUAAAGCUAAAUACUGGUGAGAGACCGAUAGCGAACAAGUACUGUGAAGGAAAGGUGAAAAGAACUUUGAAAAGAGAGUGAAAUAGUAUGUGAAAUUGUUGAUAGGGAAGGAAAUGAGUGGAGAGUGGCCGAGGUUUCAGCCGCCCCUCGUGGGCGGUGUACUGCCGACGCCGAGUCAUCGAUAGCGAGACGAGGGUUACAAAUGGGAGCGCCUUUCGGGCGUUCUCCCCUAACCCUCCACACUGCCACCGACAACAUAAUCCACCCAUUUCACCCGUCUUGAAACACG